ensembl:lncRNA
AGAAGCUGGCGCAGAGAUCCCAAGCGUUCCGCGUUCACCACAUGCGCGGCCAACUUGCACCCUACACCCAGUCUCCGCCUCCCGGCCCUGAUUGGGCGCGGCCCUGACUCCGGGUUUUGAUUGGUGGGUCCAGGUGCUCGUCACUGCCCCCUAGCGCGGCGAGCCUGGAACCCUCGCUAGCAAGUACGUAAACACUGUCAAGAUCACUGUGAAGAAUGGGACCUGAACUCUUCCUUUUUCCAGACACCACCCAUCUCCUUCCUUUUGCAACUGUGGUUUGUUUUUGAAAGUGACGCCAAGCUGGACCCUAUGGGGCUCCCAGCCCUGCCUAUGGCUGCGUAGAAGGUGGAGUCUCCUUAAGACCACCUGACCAAGGAGGAAAGAAAGCAAAGCUUGGGCUUCUCUGGUAGUACAGGGGCUAAGGCUCUAUGCUU